GUUUAUUUUAGGAGUGUGGACCUGCGUCCCCUCUCUGGGGAAAGUUAAUGGCUAUGAUUCCAACUCGCAAUAUCCGAGCGACAGAGCGAGACUUAUCUGUUAUACAUGAAAAAAACACAAAACACAACAACUGAUGCAUAAGAACUUUAUUCAGACCUGUUAAACCUGUUAAAGCUGUUAAAGCUGUUCUGAUCUGUGUCUGAUCUGUGUCUGAUCUGUUUGAUUUCCACUCUAUGACAGAGCCGUAUCUACACUUCUAUCACCUCGUCCUGACACUGCUCCUUCUCCAGUGAGCCAGUCGUCCACAUGUUUCUCACUUCGUCUGUCUCGUUCAGCAAGUUCUGUCUCCUUUGCACCCGGUAUGGUCCCAUUGUCUCCCAGCUGUGUCUCACUAUCUCCCAGAUCUCCUUCUCUUUCUUUAUGCUAUUUAUCACGUUCAUGAAGCUUUCUCUCUCGUAAUUCCAUCUUUUUGAGGCGCGCUCCCAUUGCGCUCUCUCUUUCUCCCAGCUCUCCCUCUCUUUCUCCCUGAUCUGUCUCUCUGUCUUCCUGCUCUCUCUCUCUUUCCUCCUGAUCUCUCUCUCUUUCGCUCUGCUCGCCUCUGCUAUUUUUACUCGUUCCUCAAUCUCUGAGGUGGAAGCCUGGAGCAGACUGAUGUGUUGCAGAAGCGCGGCGUUCCUCUCCUCCGCCUCUCGCACCUUCAGGUUUUCUUCCUCCUCCACCGUUAUUGUCUGCGUUUCAGAAUCCAUCUGAGCUUCUCUCGCGGCGUUCCUCUCCUCCGCCUCUCGCAGCUUCAGGUUUUCUUCCAACUCCAAUGUUACUGUCUGCGUCUCGGCGUCCAUCUGAGCACGAGACAGGCUUUCCAUCUCAGCUUCUCUAGCCUCUUUCUCUCUCUGGAGCUGCUCUGUCUCCUCUUUAAUCCGAGCCUGGCUUUGAUUCUGAUUCUCACACCUGACUUCCACUUCCUUUUGCCCCUCCAUGUCUAUGGCUGUCUCCUGUCCUGUCCUGUCCUGUCCUGUCCUGUCCUGACCUGUCCUGACCUGACCUGACCUGGUCCUGUGUCCUAACCUCGAAAUGUGUUUAGCAGGGAACCUUUACCACACUUCCUGUCUCCAACCCUGGGGAUUUCUGACUUAAUUCGUCUUAACUGGAAACGUGACUCUGAAUUACUCUGAACUCUCUUACACCUGCAGUUCCAUUCUACUAUGACG
ensembl:lncRNA